CAUGUAGGCGUUCUGUCAAGUCUGAUGUGAAAGCCCGGGGCUCAACCCCGGAAGUGCAUUGGAAACUGGCAGACUUGAGUACGGGAGAGGAAAGUGGAAUUUCGAGUGUAGGGGUGAAAUCCGUAGAUAUUCGAAGGAACACCAGUGGCGAAGGCGGCUUUCUGGACCGAUACUGACGCUGAGAUGCGAAAGCGUGGGGAGCAAACAGGAUUAGAUACCCUGGUAGUCC
rnacentral:rRNA from 1 species